CCCCCUGAAACUGGAGUUACAGAAUGUUGCAAGACACCAUGGGCUUGCUGUUCUCAAAGGAGACAGAGAGGUCGCUGUUUUCCUCCGUCUGAAAGUAAAGGGCACGCCUCCUCCAGUAGGGCCGGUGGCGGAAGGGAAGUUGGGGAAGGAAGAAAUCACCCUUUGUUCCCGCGUUCAGACGUUUCCUGUGUGCACCUGUGUUCAGCCUUACCAGGAUGGGCUCUGGGUCCAGCCUGAGUCCUGCUUUCUGGUGGCCACUCCACGACCUGCUUCCCCUUGGAUUGGCACUAACUCUUACAGCCAUGACUGCCCUGGCGCCAUCUACAUGAGAUGGCAGCGGACUCUGUCACCUACUGUCCACUGUUGUUGGACAUUUAGGGAUUUCUGUAUCUCCAAGAUUCCUUUAUGCUCCUGUAGUUUGAUUCUUUGAAAAAAUAUUACAUUUA